GCCUUUUGGCAGCAGUUCAGCUGUCCGCAUUUUACAGAUGAGGACAGUGAAACCAGUCAAGGCUCAAUAACUUGUCCACGGUCACCCAGCCUAAAGUCAUCUAGAUGGAGUCACACAGUAUGGAGACUUUUGAGUCUGGCUUCUUUUACUUGGCCUCGUGCAUCUGAGACUCACCCACAUUGUUCAUGGACCAGGACUUUGUUCCCUUUCACUGCUGAGUAGAAUCCCCCGUGUGGAUAUAUACGGGUAAAUACCUAGAAUUGGAUCACGGGGUCAUAUGGUAAGUGUAUGAUUAACUCUCAGAAACUGCCAAGCCGGGACUCCCCUUGUGGUCCAGCGAUUAAGAAUCCACCUGCCAAUGCAGGGGACCCAGGUUCGAGCCCUGCUCUGGGAAGAUUCCACACGCUGCAGAGCAGCUGAGCAGCAACUACUGAAGCCUGGGUGCCUGGGGCCUGUGCACUGCAACAGGGGAUGCCACGGCAAUGAGGAGCCCUGCACUGCAAUGAAGAAGAGCCUCCGAACGCCACAGCGAGAGAAAGCCCACACACAGCAGCAAAGACCCAGCGCGGCCAAAAAACUAAUCAAUUUUAAAAAUAUAGUUUAAAAAAGGGGUAUAGAAAAGAAGGAAAAAGAAGCUGCCAAGCUGCCUUCCUGUAUCAUUUUGCACUCCCAUCAUCAACAGCAAGACCUCCCUUGCUCACAUCUUC
ensembl:lncRNA